CCUACGGGAGGCAGCAGUGGGGAAUAUUGGGCAAUGGAGGCAACUCUGACCCAGCAACGCCGCGUGAAUGAUGAAGGUCUUCGGAUUGUAAAGUUCUGUGAUGGGGGAUGAACACAAUGACGGUACCCCAAUAGCAAGCCACGGCUAACUACGUGCCAGCAGCCGCGGUACUACGUAGGUGGCAAGCGUUAUCCGGAAUGACUGGGCGUAAAGGGUGCGUAGGUGGUUUUGUAAGUUGGCGGUGUAAUGCCGGGGCGCAACCUCGGCGCUACCGCCAAAACUAUUAGACUAGAGUGCAGGAGGGGGAAGUGGAAGUCCGAGUGUAGCGGUGGAAUGCGUAGAUAUUAGGAGGAACAUCAGGGGCGAAGGCGACUUACUGGACUGUAACUGACGCUGAGGCACGAAAGCGUGGGGAGCGAACAGGAGUAGAUACCCCGGUAGUC
rnacentral:rRNA from 1 species